UCAGUGGCCGAGUGGAUAACGCGACGGCGUUUGAAGCAAUGGUACUGGGUUCGAGUCCCAGAGUGA
rnacentral:tRNA from 1 species